rnacentral:rRNA from 1 species
GACGAACGCUGGCGGCGUGCUUAACACAUGCAAGUCGAACGAUGAACUUGGAGCUUGCUCUGGGGGAUUAGUGGCGAACGGGUGAGUAACACGUGAGUAACCUGCCCUGGACUCUGGGAUAACUUCGAGAAAUCGGAGCUAAUACCGGAUAGGACCUUGCACCGCAUGGUGUGGGGUGGAAAGUUUUUCGGUUUGGGAUGGACUCGCGGCCUAUCAGCUUGUUGGUGAGGUAAUGGCUCACCAAGGCGUCGACGGGUAGCCGGCCUGAGAGGGUAACCGGCCAAACUGGGACUGAGACCCGGCCCAGACUCCUACGGGAGGCAGCAGUGGGGAAUAUUGCACAAUGGGCGCAAGCCUGAUGCAGCAACGCCGCGUGCGGGAUGACGGCCUUCGGGUUGUAAACCGCUUUUAGUAGGGAAGAAGCCUUCGGGUGACGGUACCUGCAGAAAAAGGACCGGCUAACUACGUGCCAGCCGCCGCUGUAACAC